CUGGCUGCGUUUGAUUUGAGUAUAAAUAAGAAGUGCUUAUUUAAGAGAUAUGUAUAAGUUCAGAUAUAGACAGGAAUUAGACCAAUUUUACGUUUGGAUAAAAAUUGGCUUGUUCUUGAAAAUAAGAUAAAUAGUAUUUGGAUUAUUAGAUUACAACAAUAGAAAUAAGAGUUUUAAAUUAAAAUUAUUUUUUAAAAUUAAUUAACAUCAAAAUAUUACU
rnacentral:lncRNA from 1 species